GUGCACGCUGGCGGUAGGCCUCACCCCUGCAAGUCGCACGGCAGCACAGUAAGAGCUUGCUCUUACGGGUGGCGAGUGGCGGACGGGUGAGGAAUACAUCGGAAUCUACUUUUUCGUGGGGGAUAACGUAGGGAAACUUACGCUAAUACCGCAUACGACCUACGGGUGAAAGCAGGGGAUCUUCGGACCUUGCGCGAUUGAAUGAGCCGAUGUCGGAUUAGCUAGUUGGCGGGGUAAAGGCCCACCAAGGCGACGAUCCGUAGCUGGUCUGAGAGGAUGAUCAGCCACACUGGAACUGAGACACGGUCCAGACUCCUACGGGAGGCAGCAGUGGGGAAUAUUGGACAAUGGGCGCAAGCCUGAUCCAGCCAUACCGCGUGGGUGAAGAAGGCCUUCGGGUUGUAGAGCCCUUUUGUUGGGAAAGAAAAGCAGCAGGUUAAUACCCCGCUGUUCUGACGGUACCCAAAGAAUAAGCACCGGCUAACUUCGUG
rnacentral:rRNA from 1 species